rnacentral:rRNA from 1 species
AACGAACGCUGGCGGCAGGCCUAACACAUGCAAGUCGAGCGCGCCUUCGGGUGAGCGGCGGACGGGUGAGUACCGCGUGGGAAUAUGCCCUUCUCUACGGAAUAGUCCUGGGAAACUGGGGGUAAUACCGUAUACGCCCUUUGGGGGAAAGAUUUAUCGGGGAAGGAUUAGCCCGCGUUGGAUUAGGUAGUUGGUGGGGUAAUGGCCUACCAAGCCGACGAUCCAUAGCUGGUUUGAGAGGAUGAUCAGCCACACUGGGACUGAGACACGGCCCAGACUCCUACGGGAGGCAGCAGUGGGGAAUCUUAGACAAUGGGGGCAACCCUGAUCUAGCCAUGCCGCGUGAGUGAUGAAGGCCUUAGGGUUGUAAAGCUCUUUCAGCUGGGAAGAUAAUGACGGUACCAGCAGAAGAAGCCCCGGCUAACUCCGUGC